GACAAACGCGGCGGCAUGCCUAACACAUGCAAGUCGAACGGACAGAACAGGGAAGCUUUUCGGAGUGAAACUGGAAAGUUAGUGGCGGAUGGGUGAGUAACGCGUGGACAACCUACCUUGUAAAGGGGAAUAACCUCGAGAAAUCGAAGCUAAUACCCCAUAAUAACCUGAGUCGCAUGAAGCAAGGAGGAAAGGCGGCCUUAGAGCUGUCGAUAGAAGAUGGGUCCGCGUCUGAUUAGCUAGUUGGUGAGGUAAAGGCUCACCAAGGCGACGAUCAGUAGCCGGCCUGAGAGGGUGAACGGCCACAUUGGGACUGAGACACGGCCCAAACUCCUACGGGAGGCAGCAGUGGGGAAUCUUCCGCAAUGGGCGAAAGCCUGACGGAGCAAUGCCGCGUGAGUGAAGAAGGCCUUCGGGUUGUAAAACUCUGUCCUAGACGAAGAGAGAGUAUUGUAGUAACUGACAAUACUAGGACGUAGACUAGGA
rnacentral:rRNA from 1 species